AUUGAACGCUGGCGGCAGGCCUAACACAUGCAAGUCGAGCGAGCGGCGGACGGGUGAGUAAUGUCUGGGAACCUGCCUGAUGGAGGGGGAUAACUACUGGAAACGGUAGCUAAUACCGCAUACCAUCAGAUGUGCCCAGAUGGGAUUGGCUAGUGGGUGGGGUAACGGCUCACAUAGGCGACGAUCCCUAGCUGGUCUGAGAGGAUGACCGGCAACACUGGAACUGAGACACGGUCCAGACUCCUACGGAAGGCAGCAGUGGGGAAUAUUGGACAAUGGGCGCAAGCCGGAUGAAGCCAUGCGGCGUGUAGGAGGAAGGCCUUCGGGUUGUAAAGUACGUUCAGCGGGGAGGCGUUACCCGCAGAAGAAGGACCGGCUAACUCCGUGCCAGCCGCCGCGGUAAUAC
rnacentral:rRNA from 1 species